rnacentral:rRNA from 1 species
GAGACCCGUGCCCACUGUUACCAGCAUAUCCUCCGGGAUGAUGGGUACUCUGUGGGGACCGCCGGUGUUAAAUCGGAGGAAGGUGCGGGCCACGGUAGGUCAGUAUGCCCCGAAUUUCCCGGGCUACACGCGGGCUACAAUGAAUGGGACAAUGGGUCCCUCCCCUGAAAAGGGCUGGUAAUCUCACAAACCCAUCCGUAGUUCGGAUCGAGGGCUGUAACUCGCCCUCGUGAAGCUGGAAUCCGUAGUAAUCGCGUUUCAAUAUAGCGCGGUGAAUAC